GUACACUCCUACGGGAGGCAGCAGUGGGGAAUAUUGGACAAUGGGCGCAAGCCUGAUCCAGCCAUGCCGCGUGAGUGAUGAAGGCCCUAGGGUUGUAAAGCUCUUUUGUGCGGGAAGAUAAUGACGGUACCGCAAGAAUAAGCCCCGGCUAACUUCGUGCCAGCAGCCGCGGUAAUACGAAGGGGGCUAGCGUUGCUCGGAAUCACUGGGCGUAAAGGGUGCGUAGGCGGGUCUUUAAGUCAGGGGUGAAAUCCUGGAGCUCAACUCCAGAACUGCCUUUGAUACUGAAGAUCUUGAGUUCGGGAGAGGUGAGUGGAACUGCGAGUGUAGAGGUGAAAUUCGUAGAUAUUCGCAAAAACACCAGUGGCGAAGGCGGCUCACUGGCCCGAUACUGACGCUGAGGCACGAAAGCGUGGGGAGCAAACAGGAUUAGAUACCCGGGUAGUCC
rnacentral:rRNA from 1 species